UACGAAGGGGGCUAGCGUUGCUCGGAAUUACUGGGCGUAAGGGCGCGUAGGCGGACAGUUAAGUCAGAGGUGAAAGCCCAGGGCUCAACCCUGGAAUAGCCUUUGAUACUGGCUGUCUUGAGUGCGGGAGAGGUGUGUGGAACUCCGAGUGUAGAGGUGAAAUUCGUAGAUAUUCGGAAGAACACCAGUGGCGAAGGCGACACACUGGCCCGUAACUGACGCUGAGGCGCGAAAGCGUGGGGAGCAAACAGG
rnacentral:rRNA from 1 species